UACGUAGGGUGCGAGCGUUGUUCGGAUUCACUGGGCGUAAAGGGUGCGUAGGUGGUCGGGUAAGUUUAAGGUGAAAGCUCCGGGCUCAACCCGGAAAUGGCCUUGAAUACUAUCCGGCUCGAGGGUUGGAGGGGGGGACUGGAAUUCUCGGUGUAGCAGUGAAAUGCGUAGAUAUCGAGAGGAACACCAGUGGCGAAGGCGGGUCUCUGGGCCGGUAUUGACGCUGAUGUGCGAAAGCGUGGGGGAGCAAACAGG
rnacentral:rRNA from 1 species